UUCUUGGCUGUUGCACCUCGGGGCCUCCAGGAAAAGGUGCAAUCUGGAUUUUGGUGACGCAGGGUUGGGUAUCAUCCAUCACCAGGACCCUCCCCACCCCGGGGUGUCACUGGGGAAACUGAGGAACAUCACAGGCACUGGGCUUGUUUUUCCUAAGAAACUCCGAGUUUCCCACAAAUACAAAGAGCCAGGAUGAAGCUGACAAAUCCCUGAAAAUGGAUCUGGGAUUGUGAAGAGCCAGAGCUGGACUCCUGAAGGGCGUGGAACCAAAAUGACCCAGCACCGACUCUGGAUGAGGACAGCCCCCCAUGCAAAGCUCCAGAGGCGGCUUCCAAAUUCCUGCGCAGCCAAAUCCUGCCGGGGAGCGCCAGGAAACCCGGCCAGCAACAAGAUCAUUGGUAUGAAAACAUCUGGGACCCCGACCUUCCUGAGGAGCUCUCUCACCUGGAGGCGUUUUCCCCCCUGGAUGUGCGCAAGCUGAGCAAUCCACGCUCCGUCGGCUGCUUGGGAGGCAGCCUGGUCACGCCCCCAGGGUUGAAUUUUUGGGGGAUUAGUAUUUUUGAGUGGCUCUUAUACAACGGCGUUGGAAGCUUGGAGGGUUUCCACCGGCUCCUUGCGUGUUGGUUUCCACUCUCCUGCCAGCACCGCCAGCUGCGUGGGGCUCCCCAAAUCCCCCCGCAAGGUUUGUGGGGUGAUGGGGCUGGGGACUCAUCCGGGCUUGUCCUGGGUGUCCCCGCUGUCCCCAAGGCCAGGCAGGACACGGAGCAGUGAGACCUCGCUGUGUGGCUUGGCUCCUCCACGCCUCGCAGGAAGCAAGCGGGAUCCAUUGGCAGGCCCCAGUUUCUCCCCUGUCGAGGCAAACGCUUUGGCUAAUUAGCAAAACGUGUCAAAGAAAAUGAUUAAUGUCCCGGGAGGAGGCUGAGCUGCCUUUGUGCCGGCAUUGCCUGACUUCUGCUCUUAAAGGUUUUAUUAAAAGAUAAGGGAGCUCGUGACGGGGAACCUCGCGUGCUGCUGAUUCAGAACCAAACCCGAGGAGCGGCUGGCACUGAAGGCAGCGGUGAGGAGAUGUGCAGAGCCCGGGGCUUGCAGGGGAGAUUUGGGGUGAGGGCGAGGAGCUGGGAUGCACAGCUGCUGCUGCAGAUCCCCCUCGUCAGAGCUGCUGGAGAACCCUUGGGCUGAGGUAACUAUAUUGGACUGGGGUGUUCAGCUUGGAGAGGAGAAGGCUGCAGGGAGAUUUUAGAGCCCUUUCCAGUGCCUAAAGGGCCUCCAAGAGAGCAGGAGAGGGACUUUGGACACAAGCAUGGAGAAACAGGAGAAAGGGGAAUGGCAUCCUGCUGACAGAGGGCAGAGUUAGAUUAAAUAUGAGGAAGAAAUUCCUCCCUGUGAGGGUGGGCAGGCCCUGGCACAGGUUUCCCAGAGAAGCUGCGGCUGGCCCUGGAUCCCUGGAAAUGUCCAAGGCCAGGCUGGACGGGGCUGUGGAGCAACCUGGGACAGUGGAAGGUGUCUCUGCUUGGGGCAGGAGGUAGAACAAGAUGGGUUUCAAGAUUCCUAUCAACACAAACCAUUCUGGGAUUCUGAGGCUCCAGUGUGAGCAGCAGAGCUGCCCUGCCCGGCUGCUGCUGCCUCCUGCCCUCCCUCAGCUCCUCUGUUUCCCAGCAAAGGCAGAGGCAACUCCGUGGUGCCCCAGGGCAGGAUAUGGGCACUGCCCUGCCCUCUGCCAGGCUGGAGCUCGGGAAUGGGCUGGGCUUCAUCCUUCCAGCCCCUCCAUCCUCUCCAUCCCUCCAGCCUCACUGCCCCUCUUCAUCCUCCCCACCCCUCCAUCCCACCAUCCCUGGGCUGUGGAGGUUUGGUGCUGGUUUCCUUCUCCUCCGUUCUGUUCCUGCUCUUUAAACUCCACAACACCCAGCCUGGGGCAAAGCCGGACUCGGGGCACCAAGGCUGGGACCAGCCACAGCCUCCGCAGCUGAGAU